GACGAGUACUAGGGGAGCCAUUUUGGCUGAGAUGAAUUUUUCAGACCCUUUGAACCUGCUCUGGAUAAUGCCAGCGAAGGGAAGUUGUAUGAUAAUGUA
rfam:Clostridium sp. Maddingley MBC34-26 contig_203_1, whole genome shotgun sequence.